GAGUGUGAUAUGAAAGGGUGAGAGUGGGGUUUUCUGACUGACUUCCAUUUUGUGCCGCAGUAACUAUGCCACAUAAUGACAAGAGAAUAGCAAGGGUGUUUGUCUUAUGAAAGGGUGUUUGUCUCAUGCUAGAAGAAGGAUUCUUAGAAUAGACAAGGACUCGUGUUGUUAUUUUCAGUUUGUUAUAGACAAGGACUCAUGUUGUCAUUUUCAGUUAGAUAAGAUGUUUCAGAACCCCGGAAUGUACCCACAUAUGGAUAGAUUGUGUUUUUAGUUUUGUAUAAAGGACGGGGAAUGUUAGGGGAAUUUCAGAAUCCACCUGAGACGCUAGCAGACGUGCUGCGUGUGAAUACCGAAUUUCCCCUUGAGACGAUCGUCCUGAGAUUCCCCGAUCCAGAGUGCUCAAGUGAUGCUACAAUAUUCGCAGAUGCACAAGCCGCCAUUGCUAAGUCAUCUCAGGAGCAAGUGGCAGGAGAGACGAAGGAAUUGGAAUCAUGGUUACAGGGUACAGCCCUUUGGGCACACCAAAAGAGUGGACAUCUGGGAGAAAAGGCAACUUACAGGUGGGCGCAAGAAAGGGGUAUUCCCCUCACAUUGGACAUUGUGAAAUCUGUGAUUUUACGGUGUCCCUUGUGUCAACACUCCCAAAAGAGGGAAGUGCCCCAUACUGUAAUGGGUCAUAUUGGAAGAGGUAAGUUACCUGGACAAAUCUGGCAGAUGGACUUUAUUGGACCCCUGCCAGAAAGUCGAGGGUGUAAAUUUGCAUGUACAGCAGUAGAUACAUACUCAGGAUUAAUGGUAGCUUUCCCCUGUAUGACUGCUACACAAUGGAGUACUAUUAGGACACGUGAGAUUAUAGUACAAUAUUAUGGUAUGCCCUUACAGAUUCAAACAGACAAUGGUAGCCAUUUUACAGGACAACAAGUAAAAAAAUUAUGCUCUUGAGCAUAAUAUUGAGUGGUUGUACCACAUACCUUAUUACCCGAAAGCAGCAGGGUUAAUAGAAAGAAUGAAUGGAUUAUUAAAAUCCACUCUGAAAAAAGUUAAUGGAUCUGAUAAGUUUGGGCAAUGGAGAGAUAAUAUCUCAGAAGCUUUACAGAUAAUAAAUAACCGACCAUUGACAGAAUCCACAACUCCUCUGAUGAGGAUGUUGACCCCCAAUUUAUCAAUCAAGGCAGCACAUAAAGUAGAAAGCCUUAUUUAUUGGAAAAUUUACAAAAGGCGAUAGAACCGUACAGAGCUACGCUCAUGUCGGCAGGGUUGGACAUGUAUGCUAUAAACCCUGAUGUUAUUGUUCCUUAUGGGAUUAAGGUUAUACCUACUGGGAUAGGUUGCAAAAUGCCUUCUAAUCAUUAUGGACAGUUGUCAACCCGUUCUAGUAUGGCCAAGAACGGAAUAAUAGUGAUAGGAGGAGUAAAUGACCCCGACUAUCAAGGAGAAAUUAAAAUAGUUGUGAUGAAUUUGAGCCCAGACCCCAGCGUAAUCUGUGAAGGGGACCGAGUGGCACAAUUGUUAAUAAUACCCAUUUUGAUAGAGCCUAUCCAAUUGGGAGAAGCUCCAGCCGAACUUACUGUUCGAGGAGACAAAGGUUUUGGUUCAUCUAACACUGUGAAUGUAGGAGCAAAAAUCUGGGUACAGAAGCCUCAAGGGCCGCCUGAACCGGCUGAGGUUAUAGCUGUGGGAAAAGACAGAGUACUCUUAAUAAUGAAACCAGGACAAGAGAAAUGGGAAUAUGUACCUCAAGAAAAAUGUUAUUUGCGAGAGUAACUUACACUGAUUUUGUACCUUUAGAUAGUCGUGAGGCUCAGUCUUGGAAUCCUUGGAAUUGUAUUAUUGGUCGUCCCCUCUAGUACAUGGACACCUGGAUUGAAGAUAGAGAAACGAGAGUUGCAUACUGUACGGUGGGGAUGGAACAAUGCCACCAUACCAAGAACCCAAGAUAAUUUCACUUGUCAGGCCAAUCAGCGCUGUACUAAUAUAGUAAAUAUAACAAUUCCAGGAACGAUGUGGGCUGGACCGCCUGAUCCACAAAGAAACAGAUAUCGACCUACAUUUGAAUUACAUCAGUCAGAAGGCAAUAUCACAAUUAAUGCUGCAGUAAAUAUAAGUUGCUGUUCCAAACCUUAUAGGUUCCGAUUUCUCCCUAAAGAAGAGAAGAAUAAAGAAUAUAAGAAUUGUUCUAAACAAGGAGCAACCACAUUUCGGUUAGCUGUAAAAGACGUUUUAAUUUUGGUAUGUCAUAAUGCUACUGAAAUAAAAAAUCGAACGUGGUGGGCACAAGA